UGCGGUUUGGGGUUUUUCCUCUUUUUUGUUUUUCCUUUGGUUUCGCCGGAAAAUCCUUGUGUCGCGAUCGCGUCCGUUGCCUUGGCUAUAGCUAUAGAUAUAGCAAUCCAACCGAUAUGCAAAUAUUUUGAGCUAAAAUAUAUGUGAGCUAAAUAAAUACGCAAAUACAGAUAGUAUGUAUGUAUGUGUGUAAGUAAUCAGUGCGAACGUGAGAAUUGCUCUGGCGUUGCAAGUUCGCAGUGCAGUUGUAAUUGUAACAUCGAUGUGGAGUGUCAAUUAUGUGGAAAUAUAUUUACAAAGAUACACCCUGUGCGUGUGUGUGAGUGUGCGAGUUCCUCCUGGCACUGAAUGUCACUAAAAAAGAGUGAGAGAGAGGAAGCGAGAGUGUGGGAGUGGGCCAGCCCUCUUUCCAGUGCGUGUAGAUCAGUUACCGCCAGCACCAACAAAAACAACAGCAACAACAAACAAACAAACAAACAAGCGACAAUUCACAUUCAUUUCCAUUCAUUGCUGCGAUUAUCGCCAGUUUUGCUUUGCUCUUCCACCACGCACGAAUACAAAUCGGUGGGCGAAGGAGAGUGAGAGUUGAGAGUGGAAAGCAGAAAGCAGAGAGUGUCGCGUGUGAACCGUAAGAAAAUGCGAAAGGGGAGCGACGGAGAGUGGAGCGAAUGAAGUGGAAGCAGCAGCAAUCAAAAAGUUCGCUCUGGGCACGCCCCCUUAUGACGCCCCCUGUGACGCGUUAUCAGCGGACAUCAAACAAACACAACAAACACAAGGACCUAACCAAAAUCCACACAAAAUGGCGAUAAACUCGAGUACCAGAGAGUCGCCGCGGGUAUAAAAAAGUUCACUUCAUAAAAAAAAGUGAAGCAAACAAACUCGUUUCUGCCCCACAACAACAACAAUACCCCCAAUACCCCCCUGAACUUCAAGAGAUCCCGCAGAACCCACAAUAAUAUCAGCGUUAAGCAUCCGAAAGUUUGGGUGGCCCAGUCCACAGAAAACCCCGCACCAAACCCGAAAUAAUCGCCUAAGAUGUGUUCCCGCACAAUUAAGAUCUCGGUGGUGCUGUUUCUCGUCUUGAUACCAAUCUUCGCCGCCUUGCCACACAACCACAAUCUGUCGAAGCGCAGCAAUUUCUUCGAUCUGGAGUGCAAGGGCAUCUUCAACAAGACCAUGUUCUUCCGACUGGACCGCAUCUGCGAGGACUGCUAUCAGUUGUUCCGCGAGACGAGUAUACACCGAUUAUGCAAGAAAGACUGCUUUGAUUCAAAAUGGUUUGGCGAAUGCCUGAAAGUGCUGUUAAUACCCGAAGAGGAAAUAUCGAACUUACAGCACUUUCUGAGAGUAGUGAAUGGCUCGCCCAUAUCCUUCAACAUGGGGCCGCAAACAUAACUCUAAGUCCCCCCACCCCCCUUACACACACACACACACACACACAACUACACACAGUCACACACAGUUGAAAUUCGCUGCGAAUGACGUGGAAUGGAGAAUGGGAAUCCAACUACAACCACAAAUGCAGAGCCAGAACAAAGAAAUCUAAAAUAUUAAAACGCCCAAAUUUAAUUCGUACUUAUUUAUUACUGUAUGCCUUACAGUUUUUACUAUAUAUGUGUUUUUUUAAAAACGAAUUAUUUUUAUUAAUUUAUUGAGAACGUUAUGCGUUUGUUGUAAGUAACAUAAUCGGGCGAGUGAGAGAUUAGCGAUGAUGAUCAUGAUGAUGAGGAUUUCGCAUAUCUCGUAACUCACCCAUAUAGAAGCCGAAGUAUUUAUUUUUAAGUAUUCUUAGCUUGUUUUAUUAUUAUUGCGUUAUGCGUUGUGUAUAUAAAAUAAACAAAACGAGAUCCAUUGUUUUUAAUUCAUGUAAUGUAAAAUGAUUAUUUUUAUUUUUGUAUUCUAUUGUAAAAUCAGCAUUUAAAAUUAACGUUUUACGCGAUUUCCCGCAAGGGCGAAAAUAUAAAGCUACUCCAUUGUAAACACACACACCGCACACGAGACCGAAAGUAUUUUGCAAAUGUAUUACACUUACAAUUUUGUGCUAUUUUGUAAAGAUAAAACCCCUAAUUAGCGUAAAUCUGUUGGCGAAAGGAGGAUAUAUAUACCUAUCUAAAGCUAAACCUAACAUUUACCCGCAUACUACGACUACAGUAAACCCAUAAUAAAUGUUAAAACAAAAAAAAAACGCAAGAACGCAAUUUGUGCAAGACACAAACAAAAACCCCCGGUAAAAACACGCGAAAAAGGACUGCAUUACAAAUGUGGCAAUAACGAUUAUAAAACCCCAUGUAAAAUAAUAAAAGAUAAUCAUUCGCUGGCUAUUUGAGAGCAUCAAAAUUGUGAUAAAUGAGAAUUAGAAUGCGAAUGCGAGACGCAGAACGGCCAGAGACCCAGACACCCCAGAAAGAGAUCGCUAUAGGGGCUGCGAAAGAGACAAACAGUCGCCAGAGAAAGAGACCGCCAUAGAGGAUGUGAAAGAGACAGCCAGCAGCCGGCGACUUGGGCGCGUUUUCGGCGCGACUAAAAGCGCCUGCUUACCGUUUUUGUUUUGGCAAGAAUGCUUUGGAUCGCCCUUCUUCAACGCCUGCAUAGAGGCUCUUCAGCUGCACGAGGAGAUGGACAAGUACAACGAAUGGCGCGACACCCUGGGACGCAAGUAAACU